GGUGGCUCAGUUGGUCAGGUAUCCGACUCUUGAUUUUGACUCAGGUCAUGAUCUCAGGGGGUGUGGGAUCAAGCCACAAGUUGAGCUCCACGCUCAGCCCAGGGUCUGCCUGAGAUUCUCUCCCUCUGCCUCUUCCCUG